UGCACCCCAUGGCAGGGGACUCACACUGGAGAAAUUCAUUCCCCUCCUAUGGGAAGGACCCUAGGCUGGAGUAGUGAAAGGACUCCUCUCGCUAAGCAGCAGCAUAAGCAGUCUGAAGGGAGGGGUGGGGGGAAGGUGUGGUUAGGUUUUACUUCCAUUAUAUUGUGCUGAUUUUUAUUUUGACUGUAACAAACUCAGUUAUUUUCCCCACGUCAUGUCUGUUUUGCCCAUGAUGGUAACUGAAGAAUGAUCUCUCUCUGUCCUUAGCUCAUGAGGCUUCCAUUACACGUUUUUCUCCCCCAUCCAUUUGUGGAAGAAGAAACGCUAAUUCUUAAGAGGGGCCACAAGACUUUCAUUCCAGGAUGGGAAGAGCUGUAAAUUCUCCAUGGAAAACCAAGACCACCAACACAGCCUUGAUGUUGUAAGCUCUAACAGCUUUGAAGCCAUAUGACUAGAACUUCACUGUAAGAAAAAGACACAGCAAGAGGGAAAUAAAUAUAACCCACUG